GGGAAUCAGGCUGCACCUAGUAGAGGGGGGAGUGUCAAGGAAUUUGUAGAUCUAUUUUUAAGCUACCAGGAAUCCGUGUGAAGCGAAGUAGGAGUCUUGGCAGGGAGAGGGGCAGACGGGGAGGGCAUGUUAUGUCAGGCAAAUGGUCUAGCUCAAUUCAAGCUUCUGCGUUCUAGAUUUAAUGUGCUCAACAUCGCAGAGUAUACUUAGUCUCUGACUGCAAGUAGAUGGAUGCUACAUUGUAAGUAUUCAAGCCAGAAAGAACCUUCCAGAUCAUUGAUCCAACUUCCUCAUUUUACAGAAGGGAAAACAGGCCCACACAGGAGCAGUGACUUUCCCAGGAUAACCAGUGAGUCAGCGGCCUCUCCCUGCCCAGAAGCCUGAUUUCCUAACUCUGGGGCAGACCCUUUCCCAGUAUUCCAUACAAGGCUAUUUGUAAUGGGGCGUUUUCCAAAAUCAGGCUGAGAUACCCUAAGAAGAGAUGAGCUCUAGAGAAGGUGAUUUCAGGGAAGAUAGAAACAAGCUGAAUUUGGGAUUCUCAGGAACUGCCAAGACGCUGAGGCCCUUCUGGCCCUGAGACAAGCUGCCCUCCUUCCAGAGAUGGCCAAGAGCGAGGCUGGCCAGAAAGAGAGGAAAUGGAAAUAAGCUCCCAGCUGCCUCACAGCCCCUCACAGCAGCCAGAGCAGUCACCGCUGCUUGCCGAUCGAGAACAUGGAGAAGAAAACUCCUGCUAUGUGGCCAGUCCUUCUCAGCAACUCGAACACCGGGAGCAACUCAAGGCCAGAGCGUACAAUGAUAAAGAAAUAGACCAAGCUCUUCCCACUUCAUCCCUGCUUGUCGGACGGGUUGGGCCUGGACUGACUCCUCUCCUCAGACAGACCCCAUGGGCAGCAGUGCUGAUUUGGGGCAGUUUCCUGAAAUUGCAGCAUGGACCAAAUCACAGGCUUUGGACUGCACCACUCAUUGCCUGGAGGAACCUUCCUUCACUUGGCUAAACUUCAGCUUCCCAGCUGUGAGACGGGAUCGCCUCUCCCUUCCUCUGUGUGAUGCUGUGCGAAUUCAACAGGCUGUAAAUGCGUGAAGCACCAGCACACAUUAGACGCUCCAUACAUGCUCUAGAACUUUCUCUUACCCUGAGCAGGCAAGAUCUGCUUUCUACCAUCGUGCACUGCGUUAUCCAUACAACAAGGAUAAGAAUACGUAUUGUACUCAGUUAUGAGAAGUAAAAU
rnacentral:lncRNA from 1 species